CAAAAAUGAAAUCAGUAGCUUAGCAUGAGGGGAAUCCUUGAAAAGAGAGAGGGCUCAUUCUUCUCGCCAGUGAAAGAAUAUGAUUGAUUUUGUGUGCUCUCUUACUUGAAAGCAGACGAGCUUCUGUUUAAAGCAAAUAAUGUGAUAGAUGGAAGAUGCAAGGCUCAGCAAAAAAAAAAAAAAAGACAAGCACUGGUGUCCUCAGGAGGUGUGACGUUGCCUGGACAAAAAAAGAAGAAAAAGAAUCGAGAAGCUAGGUGAAGCUGGUACAGAGUGAAACAUCUGCAGAGUAUGAGAGUCCAGAUGCAAUAGACACAGCCUCCCUGUGCACUGUGCCCCACUAUUCUGCACCGCAACAAGAAC